GCAGCUGCCGGAAAGAAACCAGUGGCGGAAAAGACUCCAGCUGAGAAGGUACCAGCAGAGAAGAAGCCUAAGGCAGAGAAGAAACUCCCAAAAGACGCAUCGGCAGCAGAUAAGAAGAAGAAGAGACACAAGAAAUCAGUCGAGACCUACAAGAUCUACAUCUUUAAGGUUUUGAAGCAGGUUCACCCUGACAUUGGUAUCUCUAGUAAGGCAAUGGGCAUCAUGAACUCAUUCAUCAACGACAUUUUCGAGAAGCUCGCUCAGGAGGCAUCUAAGCUUGCAAGGUACAACAAGAAGCACACUCUUUCUUCGAGGGAGAUUCAAACUGCAGUCAGACUUGUACUUCCUGGGGAGUUGGCUAAGCAUGCUGUGUCUGAAGGUACCAAGGCUGUGACAAAGUUCACUAGCGGUUAGAUUGUCUUGAUCUGUUGGUAGCUAUUGCAACAUGGUUUUUGUUUGUUUUUGUGAUCUAUGAUGUAAGUACUUUGUAGUGGAAAAGUUCUUGAAUUGAAAUGAAACUAUCUUGUUUCGGCAAUGGAAGGCUUUGUUUAAUCGGCCAUAUUAUAUUUACUUUUGAUUGGUUUGUUUGUCUGAAAUGAAAUUAGGAUGAUAUUGUUCGUUGAUAUCUAUUUUGUUAGUGUUUUGUAUCAAUUAGUUUUCACUUCCAACAGUGUUUGUGUUUAUGCCUGAGACGAUCCAGUUGAAAGCUUCAACAAAUUUGUAUCGUUUUUCUAGUUUUCAUUCACAGCAACACUUGGGAGAUGAAACUUCGAUUAUUUUAAAUAUGUUGUCGACCAGUUUUUCUCUGAAGAAUCCGGUGAUACGAUCGUUUGUAGAUGUCUAAAUGUUAAUUUUUGUAAAAAAACGGAAAUCGAAAAACUUUUGUUAUAAACUCUUUAACAGAAACAUAUGAUGACGGAUAUGGUGAAAAAAAAUAUAAACAUUAUGUUUAAAGAGUUUUGAAAAAACUAUUACAACAGAAAAAUAUUAUAAUUUAUGAAAUCACCAUUAUACCCAUUAUGCUAAAAAAAAAUACCAAAAAACUGACAUUAUUUCUGUAAGGGAAAAAAAGUCAAAUAAUUUCUUUAUAAUUUUUGAAAAAACAAAAACAAAUGAUAAAAAAAUAGAAACAAAUACGUUAUCUCUCUUGGUAUCUUUUUCUACGAAUAGAGAGUGAAAAUGAAUUAUAAUAAAUGAAUAUCUAUUUUGUCGCUUUUCAAUCUUCAUUAAUUUUGAUACUUGUUAUUUUAUAAUAUUUUCGAAAUUAAAUAAUAUAUACAUGUCAAUUCGUAGGUUUUUUUAAUUUUAAAAUUAAAAAGUCACAUAAUAGUUAUAUAUGCAAAAUAUUAAAUGUAAUAAACACGAUAUCAGACCCGUCCCAGAAGGUAGGCGAUAGGGACGACAGUUCAGGGCCCAUUUUUCAAAAGGCCCAAAUUUUUUAUGAAAAUUAUUAUAUUUAAAAGAUAAUACAAGUAAAUUUUUCCAGUUAUUGAGUUAUUAUAAAAAACUUGAUGCCAUUUAUGUAUUUUAAGGACCUAUUUUUUUCAAUCGCCCUGCGCCCAAAAUAUAUUUGGAACGGCCCUGCACGAUAUUAAUUGUAAUUAAAACAUUUUUUCUUUCUUUGUUUCAAAAUUUUAUUUAAAAAAAAUAGUUAAUGUUUAAUUUUAAUAUUUAACUUUUUUAUCAACCUGUAUAAUACACGGGUUUACAUCUAGUAGGAUGAUAUAAAAAACUCAAAUCCACGUUAACAUGCAAGUUAUAUAAAAUAUAAUGGACAAAACAUCAAAUUUAGUCCUUGUGGUUUGUAAAAACUUUGGAUAGGGUCUAAAAAGUUUUCGACUUGCAUGGAAGGUCGAAAAUCAAAACUUUUCUGUGAAUUUGGUCCAAAUAAAUAUGAAAAGACUAUUUUGCCCUUAUUAUUUCUUUUUUACAUUUUCUGUGUUUAUUUUGAUUGUUUUAAAAUAAAAGAAAAAAAAGCGGGCAUGACUAUUUGACCACACAAUACCCACCCCACAUCUCCCCCCCCUCACUCUCUCAUCAAAAAGACUUCCAUGAUCAAUUCGUUUCCAUAGAUAUCACCUUCCUUUCCCGUCAAGAUGUCAUACAACAGUCGUUGACCCUUCUCGCCGUUAAGUUUCUUACCUGACACUGCCUCCAUUCCCCCUUCUUCUUCUCGAGCCGAUAGGUUUAAGUUUUGGAGCUUGAAGCCUGCCAUCUAGACCAAAACCUCGAUAAGUUCGACAACGGUGAAUCCGAUAGCAAAUUCGACAGCUUCAAACAUGUUAACUUGUAACAGCCUACUAAUCUCUUUCCCUCAUCUAUCGAAAUCUUCUAAGGUUCCAUUUUAGAUUUGAUUUUGUGUUUUCUGAAAAUUUCUAGGUUAGCUAAAAAUUUUGAUUUUCAAUUUCUACAAUUGGUGUUUAUUAUUAUGUGGGUGGGUGUAGAUUUUGUGGUGAAGAGAUUUUCUGGGAUCCAUUCAUUAUCUCAAAGACUUUGUGAGUUUCAAUUUCUGCAACUUUUGUUCAAUUUCAGCAAUUUGUGUUUAUUAAUGAGGGAUUGGGAGUUUUUUUUUAAUGCAUAUUACUGGUGAAGAACAAAUGAUUGAAUUUUAUAAACAUUAGAAUCACCCACUUCAUGAUGCAUAUUCUAAAAACCCAUGAGCUUUUACGCAUUUUUAUCAGGUGGAAUCCCUGACUGUGAUGUGUAGAUGUAAGCGUGAUUGAAUCGAUUGGUGUUAAUGUGCAACCGUCAAAUUCUGGUUAAUUCAAAGUCAAAUAAAGUCAACAAGUCAAACCGAUCAACCCAACUAACCCUUGUGUACUAUGGCUUACGUUAUGUAAUUGCUAAACAACUCGCUAUUCUAAUAAGAGAUCAUAAAUCGAAAAGUAUGUACGUCUAGAUCUCCUUAACCUAAAACAGUGGUAAGUGACGAGCCAAACCGAUAAAACAAUGAUACAUACUCAUCGGGAGUGUGUAGGAUCUUUAAACAAGGCUUAACAGGGUUUACGGACCUUGCAUUGCGAAGCCGGACACUCAAAAAAAGGUUACCAAUGAAACCCCUCUCAAUCGUUUUCACUCUAUCUCUUUUUGUCGAGAAUCUCUCCCGAAUCUCUCUUGGUAUGUAAAAUCUCUCCAAGAAUGUCAAAUCUCUCUAAGUAUGAGAAAUCUCUCCCAAAUAUCUCCUCGUAGGAUAAAUCUCUCCAAGAAUGUCAAACCUCUCUAAGUAUGAGAAAUCUCUCCCAAAUAUCUCCUUGUAUGUAAAAUCUCUUCAAGAAUGUCGAAUCUCUCUAAGUAUGAGAAAUCUCUCCCAAAUAUCUCCUUGUAGGAGAAAUCUCUCCAAGAAUGUCAAAUCUCUCCCAAAUCUCUCUAAGUAUGAGAAAUCUCUCCCAAAUAUCUCCUUGUAGGAGAAAUCUCUCCAAGUAUGACAAAUCUCUCCCAAAUCUCUCUCAAAAUCUCUCUCAACUUUCUAUAGUCACUCGGGGCAUCCCGACCCUCGAAUUUGGCGAAAACAGCCAAAAAACAGAAGUCUACGCGAAAAACGGACUUAAGGAGCCGAAACCCCUCUUAGGACCCGAAAGUCCUCUUAGGACCCGAAACCUCUCUUAGGGGCCGAAGGUCCUCCUGGAACCGAACCUCGCAUAUCACCCGAACCCGAACCUUCGGUCCAUUUCGGAUCCUGAUGCUUCGGACCGAGCCCUCGCCUUCGCUUCUCGCUUCUGGUUCGCCCCAUCUCGCCUCCGGCUCGGCAUCAUUAGGGACCGAACCUCGGCCUAGGACCGAGAGGUCUAGCUGGAAGUCAUUUUUCUCCCGGUUUUCGACUAAUUUUGCGUUUUAGCUUCGUUUUUAAUUGUUUUAACACGGGAUUUUCGCUCAAACUUUAUUUUAACAUAUAAGACCCCUUUAAUUAAUGAUUUAUCACGUUUCUAAGGAUAAAACCUUAUCCAAAAGAGUGGGUGAAGUACAAAGGUGUAGUGUUGACUUUCCUUUAUUUUAUGACACAAGCAACCUCCCAUACCCACUCCAUGUCACUAUUCCCCAUCAGCCCUUACAUAGUCACUUCAUUGUACUUUUCCCACCUUUUUCCAACCACACAAUUGGUCAAAGGCUAGAAAAGUCUCCGCUCUCUUCACUUCUCUCAUUUUCUCUCUUUUCACCAAAAAGAUCAAACUCUUUUCUCUCUCACUUCCUCUCUCUAGAAUUCAAGAUUUAAGGGUUGAUCUUGGGUUUUUCCUCCACAUUUGGUAAGCAAAAUCCACUCUCCUUAUGAUUAUUUCACUUCUUUCUACUCAAAUCAUGGAUAUCUUACACAGACUCCAUCAUAAUUGUGUUAGAUCUUCGAAUCUUCAAGUGAUUCUUCAAGUGUUCUUGGGUUGAACACUUCUCUUCUUCAACACUUAUCUUCUAAAAUCACUCAAGGUAAGUUCAUACCCCUACAUUUUCAUGUUUUCUCAAGUUUUCAGGGGGGAAUACAAGUUAAAACACCAAGAACAUAACUAAACUUUUCUAACAGCCCUCAUCAGAAAAGUUUAACUCCAUUCACGGACUGUUUUGGACAACUUAAUAAUUUUAGUUUUCAAAACUAUUUUAGGUGCAAGUAGUUCCACUUCUUAGCUUUAAAAUGACUACUUGCACAUCUCCACACGAUUUGUCUACAAUUUAUGGUGAUUUUUACAAAACAGCCUGUCUUUUCAAACACAAAUUCGGACCAGUCUGUGAAUAUGAGCAUUUUAAUACAAGUUAAAGGCUUCCAAAAAUCAUGAUAAAAAUUAUGAGUAAACUAGACACAAUUUAGGAACUCUCAGAAUUUACGGAUCUAGUUUUUGACUCCGUAUGAUUUUUUUAUGAAUUUUCUAAAACAGAAUAGAAAUGGCAAUACUAGAAAAAUGUUUUCAAUUUCAUAUACACCUUGUAACUUGUUGAGCAAGGUGUGUACCUUCAUGUGUUGAUGUGUUAUUACCAUAUAUGUCAUCUUGUCUUAUUAUAUAGACAUACAUCAGAAAACAAAUGGAUUCUUACCACCAUAAGUAUGGUAAAUAUAUAUAUGAUAAUAUAAGGCUAUAUCCAUUAAAAUACAAACAUUGGUAAACUAUGACAAGUAAGGCUUAUGCUCACUACCCACACAAAUAAUUAUGAUAAACUAUAAUAAGUAUAGUUAAGCCAUUAUACCCCCACAAACGAACAUGCUAGUUAUAAUCAGUAUAGUUAUGGCAUAUAUAUAUUACAAACAAAGUGAUAAACUAUAAUAGGUAUAGUUUAUGUUUCAUCUACACUACGAACUUAAUUACAAGAAAGGAUUUCACCAUCACCACCACCUUUGAUAAGCAAUAAUAUGCAUAGUUCAUGUUCACUACCACUAUCACUAUUUGAUGAACUAUGAUAUGUAUAGGUUAUAUUCACCAUCACCACCACUUUUGAUAAGCUAUAAUAUGCAUAGUUCAUGUUCACUACCACUAUCACUAUUUGAUGAACUAUGAUAUGUAUAGGUUAUAUUCACCAUCACAACCACUUUUGGUAAACUAUAAUAUGCAUAGUACAUGUUCACUAGUCACUAUCACUAUCCGAUGAACUAUGAUAUGUAUAGUUUAUGUUCACGGUCACUAUUACUAUUUCGUACACUACACUAGGAUUGGUUCCGGUUUUUUGGAUUUACGUCCACAUUCAAUAUCGCAUUGUUAGUUUUCAACUAUAAUUUCUAAGUGUAUAUGCUAGAGUUAUAUAGAACCUAGUCGUGAUUGGCUUAGAAUUGGUGGUUCCGCCUCAUCUCCUGUUCCUCGUUGGGUUGUGGACCUAGGGCAGACCCAUUACAUUCGACGUUUUAAUUACAUAUACCUUGGUGUAACUUUUUCAAUUAUAUUUAUGAUGGUUGUAUUUACUUUGAGCACUAUUAUACACGUUGUUGUGAUACUGUACAUGAAGUCCUCCACCCCUGGACGUUUCCGCCAUCCUUGGUUUGGGGGUGUGACAGUUAAAUUGAGUUGGGUUUCUGCGGGAUUAAAUUGAUGAAUGCAAAACCGAUGGAUUGAAGCUUUUAAGGUAAGUUUUUGUUGGUUUUUUGACAGCUCGAUUCAUUUGAAGGAAAAGUAAAACCGAUGUCCCCAGAAUAUUUGGAGAUUGAUUUUGAAUAUGUAGUGGUGGGUGUUUUUGAUCCAGUUGUAGGUUAGAGGUGCCAAUUGAGUUGGGUUUCUGCGGGAUUAAAUUGAUGAAUGCAAAACCGAUGGAUUGAAGCUUUUAAGGUAAGUUUUUGUUGGUUUUUUGACAGCUCGAUUCAUUUGAAGGAAAAGUAAAACCGAUGUCCCCAGAAUAUUUGGAGAUUGAUUUUGAAUAUGUAGUGGUGGGUGUUUUUGAUCCAGUUGUAGGUUAGAGGUGCCAGUCUCCUUUAGGUCUUUUUUGUUUGGGUUUUCGACGAAGAAAAGGGGAGGGAGGAAUAGGGGGCUGCAACGAAGCUUACACUCAAUAUUCAAGUGGAUUUGUGUUUUGUUGCAGAUUUUAAAGAAGAAGAAGAAGAAGAAGAAGAAGAAAAAGAAAAGGAGGAGAGAGAGAGAGAGAGACGAUAUGGUUGGGUGUAUAUUUUUUUUUAAUUUCUUUUUAUUUUGUAGUUAUAAAAACAUUAUAAAUGGUAAAAAUAAUGUAAAAAGGAAAUUAGAAGGGUAAAACCGUCAUUUCAAGUCUUCCAAGGACCAAAACCACGGGAAUCUUCUAAUUUUGGGACCAAAUUCACGAAAAAGUUUUGAUUUUGGACAUUCCAUGCAAGUCGAAAACUUUUUGGACUACAUCCAAAGUUUUUUACAAACCACAAGGACCAAAUUUGCAGUUUUGUCAAUAUAAUGGGGAAAUUAACAAAAAAAAAAAUCCAAAAACGUCAGUAUUAUGUUAUUGAAAUAUGGGCCUGUAAUUUGUAUCUUCAACUUUGAGAGAUUUUGUUUUACAUGGGUGAAUCAAAUUAAAAAGGGUCGAAUAUAUAUCUUUUUACUUAUACCUUUCAAUAUAAAUACAUACAUGAAUGAUGAUUGUAAUUAAAAGAAACUCUUAUUUGUCCAAUAUAUAUAUAUAUAUAUAUAUAUAUAGGGGGGAGGGGUGUGAGGAANNNNNNNNNNNNNNNNNNNNNNNNNNNNNNNNNNNNNNNNNNNNNNNNNNNNNNNNNNNNNNNNNNNNNNNNNNNNNNNNNNNNNNUGUACGAAAGUAUAAACUCAACAACUUCCCAACAUCAACAUUUCAUUUAAACAUGAAACAGUUGGUUUACAUCAACAAUUACAGGAGAAAAACCUCACUACAAUCACACUCAACACUCUAAUAACCAUUUAUGAACAGAUCGACUCAAGAACAAGUGAAAAAUAUAGAAACCCUAGUAGAAUACCCUAAACGGAGAGAAAAGCAUUGCGGGUGGAAAGAACAACAAAAUAUCUAUAUGACACAAAUGAACUGAACUCCAACAUUAAAUACUUCAGGGCAACCGGUAUCAACUGAACCCGACGUAUACGGGUUAAACAACCCGCGCUCAUUUACCUGCAUUUUAGAACAUAACAGAAAACACCCUUCUACAAAUAACAAAUGUCACAAGACGCCCAAAUAACUAAACAUCUUCAAAUGAUAAGUUUGCUAUCAAUAAUACCUUUUAACACCCCCUCUCAAACUUAUCAUUUAAAAAACUUAUUUUCCAGAAAACAAGUUUAACAGUCCAAGUAUCUUUGACAAAUACUCAUGUUGAAACGAAGUUAAUGACUUAGUUAAAAUGUCUGCAUUUUGAUUAGAGGAAUCAAUUUUAACUAACUUUAAAACACCAUUUUCAAUUUUUUCUCUCACAAAAUGAACAUCUAUUUCAAAAUGUUUGGUUUUUUCAUGAAAUACUCGAUUUAAAGCUAAUUUAAUAGCAGACUCAUUAUCACAAAACAACUUAACUGGAGUUAAAUUUUUAAAACCAAUAUCACUUAAAACUUUUAAAAUCCACAACACUUCACAUGUUACAGAACCCAAAGCACGAUAUUCGGAUUCUGUUGAGGAUCUGGAUACUAUGCUUUGUUUCUUACUCUUCCAAGAAAUAAGAGAACUACCUAAAUAUACCAAAUAUCCAGAAACAAACCUUCUAGUUGAUAAGCAUUUCGCCCAAUCAGCAUCCACAUAACCAAUAAUAUCAAAAUUGUUAGAUUUAGAAAACACAACACCUUUUCCAGGACACUCUUUCAAAUAACUUAACAAUCUGAAAGCAACAUUUAGAUGUUAUUUCCUGGGCUUAUGCAUAAACUGACUCAACACUUGAACUGCAUAACUAAUAUCAGGUCUAGUAACAGUGAGAUAAAUUAGUUUCCCUAUGUGUUUUUGAAACUCAGUUAUAUUACUUAUAAGAUCUGAAUUAUCGUCACAAUCUCUAUUAAACACAAAAUUAACUUCCAAAGGAGUUUUAACAGGUUUACAACCAAGCAUACCAAACUCACUUAAUAAUUCCAAACAAUAUUUCCUUUGAUUUAGACAAACACCACUAUAUGUAGAUAAUACCACAAUUCCCAACAAAUAUUUCAGUAAACCUAAAUCUUUUAUCCUAAACUGUGACUUAAGAAACACUUUAACAUUCUCAAUUUCUAUACUACUAUUACCAAUUAGAAUUAUGUCAUCAACAUAAACUAGUAAAAUGACAAUAGUAUUAUUUUUUGACCAAAAAAACAAGGAAUAAUCAUUUAGACUUUGUACAAAUCCAAAAACUGAAAGUGAUGAACAAAUUUUUUCAUUCCACUUUCGUGGAGCUUGUUUUAACCCAUACAAAGACUUAACAAGUUUACACACUCUACUAUCAUUUUUAGAAUGAUAACCUUUAGGCAAAUUCAUAUAAACAUCUUCAACUAAAUCACCAUAUAAAAAGCAUUAUUAACAUCUAAUUGAUAGAGAGGCCAAGAGUUAUUAACAGUAACACAUAUAAUAAUUCUAACAGUAACAAUCUUAGCAACAGGAGAAAAAGUUUCUUCGUAAUCUAUUCCUUCUCUUUGAUUAUAUCCUUUAGCAACUAGUCUAGCUUUAUAUCUUUCAAUCUCACAAUUUGAUUUAUACUUAAUUUUAUAAACCCAACGACAGCCUAUAACUUUUCUAUCUCUAGGCAACUCAACAAUAUCCCAAGUAUGAUUUGUAUAUAAAGCUUCCAUUUCCUCAUUCAUAGAUUUAAUCCAGUUUGGAUCAGUAGAAGCUUCUGAAUAAGUACUAGGUUCGAAUGUCUUAUUAAGAUUAGACACAAAGCAUUUACUAUCACUAGUUAACAAAGAAUAAUUCACAGAUUUUUCUAAACCAUACUUGUGAGAACUUUCCACAACAAAGUCAUUAAAUCUUGUUGGUAAACGAACAUUUCUACCAGAUCGAGUAACACCUAACAAGUGAUCAUCAGAAGGAUUAUUUUGUUCUAAGAUAUUAUCCUCAGCCAAAGUAGAUGAACUAGGAACAUCCACAACAUUUUGUUGCACAUGUGCCCUGUCACUCUGGUUGAUGACCUCAUUAUUAGGGGUCUCAACUAGGUGUUGAACUCCUCUAGUACCUUCAGACUAAAGGGUUGUUCCUAAGUUAUCUAAACUACUAUUUUCUUGAAGAGAACUAGAUAAUUGAGGCUCAUCAUUGGAAAAUGGGUCACUUGGAUUAUCAAAAACAUUAGUUUUAUCACUAAUUAAAGGUUUAAGCUUCUACGGAAAUAUAAAUUCAUAAAAUUUGACAUCCCUGGAAACAAAAACAAAAUUUGAAUCAAACCUCAAUACUUUAUAACCUUUUUGUUCCAAAGAAUAACCAAGUAAAACACAUUUUUCAGCACGUUCAUAAAAUGUAUCAAGAUUAUUCAAUUUUGUUGCAAAACAAAGACAUCCAAAGACACAAGUCUAUCAAAUCUAGGAAUAGAUUUAUAAACAAUUUCAUAAGGAGAGACUCCAUUUAAUACCUAAGUGGGAGUUCUAUUUAUCAAAAAAACUGCUGUUAAAAUAGAAUCACCCCAAAAAGUCAAAGGCAACCCUAAUUGAAACAUUAAAGACCUAGCUACAUUUAAAAUAUGCAUAUGUUUUCGUUCAACCGCCCCAUUUUGUUGAGGUGUAUGGACACAAGAAGUUUGAUGAAUUACACCUCUACUUUCAAAAAAACUUUUCAUGUUAUGAUUUAAAAACUUUGUUCCAUUAUCUGACCUAACCCUUUUAAUUUUAACUUCAAACUGAUUUAGUAAAAUAUUAAAAAAUGCUACAACACAAGAAAACACUUCACUUUUAGACUUAAGCAGAUUAAUGUAAGUUGCCCUAGUGAAAUCAUCCACUAUAGUAAGAAAGAACUUAAAACCUUCUGAAGUGACCACUCUAUAGGGACCCCAUAAAUCUAGAUGAAUAAGUUCACCUAAACAAGAAGUUACAUGCUGAUUAGUUGGAAAAGAACUCCUAGUUUGUUUAGCUUUAUGGAAAACAUCACAUGGAGGUAAGGAAUCAUUCCCAAAUUUAAGAUGAGUUUUUAAAGAGUUCAGAGCUUGAUUAGAAGGAUGACCAAGUCUAUUAUGCCAUGUUAAUUUUGAAACAUAACACACAACAAAAUUAGAGCUAAAGGAAUUACCAGAAGGUACACUAUCAACAUAAUAGAGACCUCCAGAUUCACUACCAUUCCCCACCAUCUCUUUUGAGUGUAAAUCCUGAAUUUUACAACUAUGUUCAUUAAAAACAACCUCACACUUAUUAUCUUUACACACCUUGUGUACUGACAUUAAAUUUACAUUAAACUCAGGAACAACAAAUACAUCAAAAAGUGUUAAGGUAUUUGAAAUAUUUAAGUUUCCUAUUUUUUCUAUUUUAGCACAAGUUCCAUUAGGAUGACUGACUAUAAGAUUAAGGUUAGAUACAUCCAUUGUAUCAUGCAAAAGAUAUUCUGAUGCUAUCAUAUGUUAACUAGCACCAGAAUCAACAAUCCAUUAUAAGAAGAAUUACAAACAUUAAACAAACAAGUACCUUCCAUAUUUGAACUGAUAGAUGCUUCCUCAUUAGACUUUCUUUCACCUAUUAGGCUAAGAAACUUGGCAUAUUGAUCCUUAGUAAGUUGAUGAAAUUCAGGCUCUCCAGGAUCAGAUGAUCCAGAAGUAACAACAGAUGAAUUUGUAUUAAAUUUUUUAAUUUGACUACUAUUUCAACUAACAUCACUCCUAGGUUUAUAGUCCUUUGGGUACCCAAUUAGUUUAUAACAUUUUUCAAUUGUAUGUCCUUUUAAUCCACAAUUCUUACACUGAACAGCUGAACCUUUGUUUCUAUUAUUAGAAUUACCAGAAAAUUUAUUAUUCAACUUACUAUUAAAAGCACUAGGUUGAUUUUUAAGACUAGAUUGAGAGUCAUUAGAAAGGGACCCAUUCCUUUGAAGAGACUCUUCACGAGAUAUAAUUGAAAAAGCAAUUUUAACAUUAGGAAGUGGAUCCAUAAGCAAUAUGUGACUCUUAACUUGGUUAUAAGAUUCAUCCAAACCACUGAGAAAUUGCAUGAGUUUCAUUAGUUUAAAGUGAUCAUUUAGUUUAACAGCAGCCUCACAUGUACAUUCAAUAAGACUGGUUAGACCAUCAAACUCCUUCCACAAAGCAUCUAGUUUAUUGAAGUAAUAAGAACUAGACAAACCAUCAGCUUUAUUAUUGGUUUCAAAUAAAUUUUCCCAAAUUUCUUAAGCAUUAUCUGAAUAAGCAUGACUUGCAUAUAUUGAAUCACUAAUAGAUGAUAACAGCCAAGAACACACAACAACAUUUGCCCUUUCCCAUUUUGACUCUUUAUUUGUUUCAACUUUAUCUUUUUGAAAAGUACCAUCAACAAAACCUAGUUUGUUUCUAGCCUUAAGGGCUCUACACAUAGAACUUCUCCAAAUACGAAAAUUUUCAUUUCCAGAUAAUUUCACAGUAACAAUAGUUGUAGUAGCAUUAUCAGAAGGAUGGACAUAGAGAGGACCAUCAAGAUUGAUUGAAUCAUCCUUUCCACUUCCUCCUGGAGGAUCAUUUGAACUAGCCAUAUAACAGGAAAGAACAACAAUUCACAAAUAAAGCUAAAAAGAUAACAACUAAUAAAAUAAGAUCAAGAAAACCACAAAAUAACAGCUAAUCAAACAAGAAAACAAAAAAACAGACUCAUGUAUUGACUUAAAGUCCAGAUGGUCACCACGUUUGUUGGGGCCCAAGACAAUCAAUACAGAGCCAAAAAACAGACAAGAAACAAACAAGAAUAAUUGGUGUACUCAAGACAACCAGGACCACCCAAUCACAAGAUAUGAAAAAGAGAUAAAAGGGAACAAGAAACCCCUCACAGUGCUAUUAGGAUGAAGCAGUCGAAGGAUCGACUCUAUCUGUCCGUUCUCUACUAAGGGUUUAUCGGUGAUGAACUCCGAUCCCUUGAGUGUUAUUUCAGACAGACAUAUUAAUCGAUAAAAGUUUGGAUGAUUUCAGUUCAACAGUUGUUCAAGAAACAAGGUAUCAAUACACCGAUCAGAUGUCGUGACCCUGCAAGAAAUCACAAAGAACACUCACAGUACCAAUCAUAAAAAAACAAAAAAUAAGAUCCGAUAAAAACCUAAGUCGAAGAACACUAAAACAAAUCGAUCUUGGUGAGAAAUCUAAAGGUUAUAAAACCUUAUAGAUCUCCGUCGACAGAUAAGUAGAUAACGGAAAUAAACAAGGUUAGAAACAACCUUUUCUGAUGUCUUCUGAAGAUGAAAAAACCUCCGAUGACUACCAAUGAAGAAGAGGACCUCCGAUGUACACCGACGAAGAAAACGACGAAGUCUCAAGCUCUGAUACCAUGUAGGAAAGUAUAAACUCAACAACUUCCCAACAUCAACAUUUCAUUUAAACAUGAAAUAGUUGGUUUACAUCAACAAUUACAGGACAAAAACCUCACUACAUUCACACUCAACACUCUAAUAACCAUUUAUGAACAGAUCGACUCAAGAACAAGUGAAAAAUAUAGAAACCCUAAUAGAAAACCCUAAACGUAGAGAAAAGCACUGCGAGUGGAAAGAACAACAAAAUAUCUAUAUGACACAAAUGAACUGAACUCCAAUAUUAAAUACUUCGGGGCAACUGGUAUCAACCGAACCCGACGGAUACGGGUUAAACAACCCGCACUCAUUUACCUAUAUUUUAGAACAUAACAGAAAACACCCUUUUUACAAAUAACAAAUGUCACAAGACGCCCAAAUAACUAAACAUCUUCAAAUGAUAAGUUUGCUAUCAAUAAUACCUUUUAACAUGAAGCCCAUUUUUUUUCAAUGUACCUUAAUUGUGUAUAUGGGUACCAAAUCCGUUCUUUAAUAAUAAGUGUUUAUAAUCUAAUAAUCAUAAUCAUUCAAAACCUAAUUCCCAUGCAGGUAUUCUACUGAAUAUAUUGAUAGAGAUUAUUAAAAUAAUAAAAAACAUAUGAAUUAUUUAAUAAAAUGAAUAGAAAGAAACCUGUAAACAAACAUCACUCUGUUUAUAUUUACCGAAAUAAACAUUUAAAGACUUACCAAACAUCAAUUUGUGUCCUAAAGUUUCAGUAGCACAAUACCUAUAAAGAAAAUAGAAAAAUAUAAUUAAUGAAAACAAAGGAAAUAUAUAAUUAAUACAUUAAGUGGUAAUAAUACCCUGAAAGUAAUGAGAUUUGAUUCACAUGGAGCCCAAUGUUUAAAAACUACAAGUGCAAUACCACCACUAAUUAUUCAUGGCGUAGCAAAAAGAGAACAGGGUCAGGAGCAGCAAGCAAAGACCGGUUAAACUUGUGAGCUACAGCAAGUCCACAUAAAAAUAAAUUAAGGAAAAGAAAAGAAGAGGUUGAAUUAUAGAGAAAGGGUUUUUAGAAAAUGAUUUUUGUGUUUCUAAUAACAAAUGUAUUUUUCGCCAAAAUCCUUCUGCCUUCUCCAAUUAAUGAGUACUUUGUAAUAUAAAUCGUGUCCAUUGAGGUUUCCAAAAGGAAUUAAUCAUGAAAGAUUAGUAUGUUUUGGUCUAAAAAUAACAUUAAAAAUUUUAAGGAAGGAGGGUACUUUGGUCUUGUUCAAAUGCUUUACUCAGUUAAAAAAAAAAAAAACAAAUUUAACAUAAUUAAAUGUAAAUAAAAAGCAAAACUUGACAUGCGUAGAUGAUUAAUGCAAAAAAUGUUAUUUCACUCAAAAGAUGCAUCUUUUGCAUCUAUUUCAUUCACUUCUACAUCAAGAUUUUGCUUCCACCGAAAAACCCUUCAUCGUCUUUCAAGAUUCAACCCUUGAUUUCUUGUUUGGUGGAAUUUGAAACCAAGCAUCGUAAUCGACGCUAACAUUUUCAACAUUAGGAAACCGGGAAAAAUCCUAAAUUCGUACAUCACAGAAGCCAAAAUCGGUAGAUGUUGGCGGUGGAGGGACUGAAGGAGCGAUGUUGGUGCGACGCUCACUUUUGCUAACCCUAAAAAAGGCGAUGAUUCUUAGAUAAAGGAGAACAUUAUGGAGGAAAAUGGAGUGGAAGAUAGAGAAGAUGAAGUGAUAAGAAAGCGGUGGAGAACCAGACGGACGUCGUAGCUCAUGUGCGGUGGUUUCUUGAUAAUAGAGAAUAACGAUCGAAGAUGGAGCAGUGAAGGGGUGGUGGUGGAAUGAACUGGAAGAAUUCCACGGUGAGUGAAGUAUGUAACACACGAAAUCUAGAAGGCUAAUUAUGAAAAAUAAAACAUCAUUUUGAAAGGUCUACUUGUCGAUUUUAAGGUAUACACACUCGACGAGUAGGAAUUAUGAGUCACACACAUUUUCGAAGAUCAACUCGACGAGUUGGUCGUUGAUAUGUGCAUAUUUAAUCAUUUAUUUUGUAUAAUGUCUUAAUAUUUUUUGGAUAUUUUAUCUCGAUUCAUGAACAAAAGGUACUUAAUUAUGUUAAAUUAUAUUUACAGCCUUAAAGACAUGCUCAAGUGAAAAAGGAAGAAGAACUAGCAAUUGGAAGCUUGGGGAUUAAUGUUUAAUGAAAUAAAGCUUAAAAGAGGAAGAACUUGACGAGUUGUCCAUCAACUCGACAAGAAGGUCAGAAUAUUCACGAACCAACACUCCUUUAUUGGCGAUCAGAAGGGUUCUUGAUGCUCUGAUUUUCGAGAAUUCGGCUUAGACAUCAAUGUAACGUCCGUAGAUCAGGACUAGUCAAUUUAGAGACGAUAAACGUCAAAACUGAAUUUUUGAAGGAAGAUUAUUUAAAAGGAGUAAUCUUAACUAAGUUUUAGUAUAUGUUACAAGGAUUUCGUACAUAUAAAGAAUGCCGAAAUCCGAGUUAUAACGAAGAAGUUAUGACCUGUCGAAGUUUCGCGACAGAACCGGUACGACACAACGUGACGUAAAUCGUGAAUUUACGUUAGAGCAAUAUUUAGCCUUAGUGAUCUAAAAGAAAGUCGUAGAGCUCGUUAAACCGUGAUCAUGCAUAAAAAGAACGCCCAAAAUUGACUUCGUAUGAGGAAGUUAUGAUUUUUCUAAGUUUCAGCUUAGUAGUAUGCAGCCCGAAACUCGAAUUCGAGAUCGAGUGAUUUCUAGCCGAAGUAAUCUAAAUGAGAAUCGAAGAUCUCAUCAUUAGUAGUGCAACGAUAAAAAUCAGACGAAAACGGACGUCGGAUGAAGAAGUUAUGAAUUUGUAACGGAGUUUUCCUAUCCCGGCCUACUAAAAAUAAAUGUCAAAAUUAGCCGACGGAGUCUAAACGAAAGAUGUAGAGUGUAGUCUCACCUACGCGUGGAUGUAAAUAAACGUCGAAAACGGAGUUCAUAUGAGGAAGAUAUGGAUUUUUGAAGUUUAUUAAAUAAUUAAAAUAUAUAUUUAAUCUUUAAUUCGGAUGUAUAUCCGAAGGAUUCAUUGCUCUUAUCCGAAGUACGUCUAGCAUACCCCGGUGCAUGAACCCCUCGGACUUGAGUGCCUCGCAUACGUAAGUGAUGACGUUAUUUGGCACUACGCCCCGCGUAGCUAAGCAUUACGCCCAACGUAAUGCGAGGGUUUAGCCCUAUAAAUACCUUGCAAGGGCAGCCGACAUUCUUGCUCAUUUUCUCUUCUCUCUCCCGUUUUACCUCGUUUUUUGUGCAAGAAAUAUCCCAAAGCCCCGAAAUUAAUACCGAGCCUCGAAGCAAGUCCCGAAGCCACGAAGAUCCCGAGAAGUGAAAUUCCCGAGCCGAAGCUCUGCCCACCGAGAGCCGGUUUUUUGUGAAGAUCUUCCAGAUCUACCGAAGAAUACUACUUCUACAAGUCGUAGUGUUGUACGAUCAUCUUCUGAUCAAGUGAGUGUGUGAUCACUUUCUUCUUACACAUAAAUAUUAAGUAUUUGCUAUAAAAUACGUGUUAUAUGUGUAUAUAUUGUUGUUUAUUUAAGAUGAUUGUGGAAUGGACGAAUUAUAUAGGUUUUAAUGAGUUAAACUGUAUAUGUAUUUUGUAUCUACAAAUAUGUUGGAGAGAACAAGGGUAAAUGAGAUUGUUGGUAUGGGAUAAAUGGAUAAAGUGGUUAGUUUUAGAUCCGAGAGUAUGGAUCAGAUCGAGAGGUUAGUUUUAGAUCCGAAAGUAUGGAUCAAAUCAAGAGGUUAGUUUUAGAUCCGAGAGUAUGGAUUGGGUCAAGAGGUUAGUUUUAGAUCCGGGAAUAUGGAUUAGGUAAUGAGGCAAAUUUAAGAUCCGGGAGUACGGAUUAUGUAUUUUUGAACUACGUGUUCAUUCGAUAAGGUAUCAUGUGUAUAUUCCCUUUUUAGGAACAUGAUUUUAAUACGAGUAUUGAUUAAAGUAUGAAAUAUACAUAUGUAUGUGAAGUAUAUGUUAUUGUCCGAAAUACGGGUUAGAUAUAUUUGAUGAUAUACAACGUGCGAAUCAGAUAUGGUUCAAUAUGUGUUAAGAUGUGUAUAUAUGAUAUUAUUACUUAAAACCUUGUGUUAAGUAUAACUAGUUGGCAUUGCCUAAACGGAGAUAGUAUCAAAAAAAUAGAUUAUAAACAUUGUAGGUUUGCCUAGUGAUGGGUUAAGACUUAAAUGGGAUGUUUAGUUCAAUUAAGUUUGGACAUUGGGUAGUCUCUUAUUAAGAGUACGUGCGUUGCGAGAUUGAUGAUCGGUGGAGUACGUCCUACGUACAGAAGUACAUAUUAUGUACGAAGUCCUUUUCAAAGCUCUGUGUCUUGGGCGCUGCUUGUGCCAAGGUACUAUUAUGUUCUUGGGCACGAGUGUUUCGCAUACCAGAGUACUAUAAUAUGCCAGAAGUACUAUCAUGUACAAAGUCUUUUUGACAAUUUUGUGUGUCGGUUACGGGAGCGUACAGGAGUACUCUAGUAGUGUUUCCCCAUACUUUUAUUUUGAGAGAGCUUUGGAGUCAUCGUUUCUUUUAUGAAGUGAUCGACCGAGCUUCAUAUGUCAGUGUUUUCUUUCACGAAGUAAUUAAGGGAACUUCGUAGACUGCCUAAUAAAGUGUGUCGGUAAUAGAACACUGCUAGGUAUGUUUGGUGUUAUAUUGAUGGAUAGGGUGCGUAUGGGGAUGAAAUACCUCAUGUAUUUAGGCCACUGCUAGGCAAAGUUCGAUGUUGUAUAGGUAGAGUAUUGGAGUAUAAUACCUCAUGAUAGUCGGACCACGCCUAGGCAUUGUUAUCUAGAUAACUACCCAUGACUUAAUUGUCUUGUGGUUCUUUCUUUUACGAACGAAGGUCCGUGGCGAAACUUAUUCCAUUCCCCUCAUUUGAUGUCUUUAUUGAUCCUCGUUUGCUGUUAGGGAAUUUCCGAAGCAGCUUCGUCAGUUUGUGGUUCAUAUCGAUUCCUUAGGCUAUAUCUCAUAAGAUCAUUGUAUAGGGUCAGUAUGUGGGGAUCAACGGGAUGCGAUAUAUUGUUUCAGAAAUAUGAUGUAUAUUUGUUUAUAAUAUUAGUGGUUUUGCAGGAUCGAGAUAUACUUUAUUAUCACAUUGUUUGAACUAAGAGCUUUCGUACUCUGUGUUCCUUAGGUGAUUGGGUUCACCAGGGAUAUUCGAACUAAGUGUUCAUUAGAUAUUUAAACUUAGUGUUCAUCAAGGAUAUUUGAACUAAGUGUUCAUUAAGUGUUUUUGAACUAGGUGUUCAUUGGGUAAUAUUGGAACUAAGUGUUCAUUGGGUGUUCUUGAACUAGGUGUUCAUUAAUUAUUGUGAACUGCGUGUUCACCAGAGGUAAUCUAAGAACCUUGGUAGCACUAGACUUUGUGCCAGUUCGUUAGGGAAUCCUUAGGAAUGAAUAGGAGAAGCGUAAUCGGUUCUUAGGAUAAAUCUUUAAGAAAUAAAUGGAGAUAAUGAGGGUGGGUAAUUGGAUUGAUUGUUUGAUAACUGAAUAUAAUAAUUACAUUAUUGUGGGUUGAAAACCCUAUAUGCUCACAAGGCCCCCAAGGCUGACCCUCUCGGUGUUCUUUGUAUUACAAGUUAUGGUACAAGAGCAUAAGUUGGCUGACAUAGCGAGAUAUUAUGGAUUAUAUGCCAGUAGUUAUGAAAAACUGUUGUAAGGUCUAUUUUUGUUCUGUUUAUGCUUUUGAUCUGUAUUGAACAUGACAUCCCGAGAUUUUGUUAUAAAAUGAAAAAUACAUUUCUUUAAAUAAAUGUUUUGAUAAAUUCUUAUCAUAUUUUGUUUUGGGAACGAAUUCCGCAACCGUUUUCUUUAAAAGGAUUACUCUGAUUUUAAAAACAAGCAUAAACAAUCGGUCUUUUCUGGCCGUGAAAUUGGGGAUGUCACAUUCAAGUUAAGAGAGAUCAAAGGUAAUAAACACUAUUCUUUUUCCUAAUAUUUUACAUAAACUAUGUUUACAUCAUUAUAUUUCGUUUUUAGGUUGUUAAUUGUUGUAUAUAUGAGCUUAAAGCUUAUAACUUAUGUUUAGAGUAGAUGAAUUUAUGAAUAUGGUGUGAUUUUAUGGCUUGAAUUAAUUUGAUUUGGUCUUGUUAAGCUUGUUAAAGACCCUUAUGUGUUGAUAACAAUUGUUUUUAUGUUAACAAUCAAGUUGUUGAGUUGCAUGAGCAUCUUCUUAAUUGCUUGAAUCAUAUAAUUUUGUGAACACAAUAUUGUAUGCCUAGUAUUAGUGAAUAUGAACCUAGGAUUAACUAGAAAAUAAGUAUAUUAAUGUGUAAGCAUGUAUGAUGAACAACCAUACAUGAGUUAAUUGAAUUGAAAAUUUUAGUUAGUUAAUAUUACAAGUCUUACUUGAUCCGAAUAAAAUAGUAGGAAUCAUGUUAGUUUAACCAAUUGACCACCAUUUGAAUUAACUUGUUUGCUAAGGAUUAGUAAUAGUGAACAUGAAUCUAGUCACAUUAUGAAUCGGUAGCCAAUGAUAUGUUAGUCCAUUGCACUUUCCAUGAAAUCAACCAUAGGAAUAAAUGAGUCGAAUCUGAACAAAAGUCUCUUUUAUCAUCGAAUCAAGUUACCUUCUAGUUGCUUUAGUCGUUAAUUGUUUUGUUAAAGUGUUAUUUGCUUAUUUAAGUCUUUACUCUUGCCAAGCUAGAGAAAACCAUCUUUUAUUACUUGUUUUUAAUUAGGUAAUUCUAGUAGUUAAUCUUAAUUGUAACUGUUCCCUGUGUUCGAUACCCUACUUGCUUGAACUAUAUUGUUAAUCGAUAGGUACACUGCUUUUCAUAUGUUUUUUUUUUGUGUUUGAAGUAGUAGGAUUAACACUGGUGCAUUUUACACACAUUAAGUUUUUGGCGCCGUUGUCGGGGAACGAUUUUAAUAGUUAUUUUAAUUGCUAGUGUUAUCGAUCAUUUGUGUAAGAUUUAACUUGCAUAAAGUUACUAAUUUCGUCAUCAAGUUACUUAGUUUAAGUUACUAGUUUUUUUGUUUUAAAAUUUUCGUUUUUAUUUUUCUGCGUUGGCGUUGAACUUGUCGAGUCCAGACGAAGCUACUCGACGAGUUGACAAAUUUUUCAGUUUCAUUUUGUUCGUUUUACGCGUGUUUUAUGUUUUUCUUUCAGGUAUUUUAUGACCCGUGGAUCAAAUACACCUUUGAUCCCACCACUUGAAGACCCAAAAUAAGAUUUUAAGAAGAACAAGGAUAAAACCGUAGGAGAAUCUGCAACCCCAAAGAAGUCACAUUUUAAGAAUCUCAAAUCGGUUUUUGGCAAGAAAAAGGGGAAGCAAGUGGGAGAAUCCAACACAACAUUGAAGGACGAAGACCCUAAGAAGGAGGAUACCAAGUACGAAACGGAAUUUGAAGAAGAAAGCGAGCAAGAAAUGCAACCCGUGAUUCCAACAACUGCUAACUUUGAAUUGAAAGGUCACAUACUUGCCUAACUCAAGGACAUCCCAUUCUAUGGGAAAGAUCACGAAGACGCAUACAAACAUAUCGACAAGGUCAACGACAUAACCGACCACUUCAAUAUCCCUAAUGUGCCUUACAAGAUUGUUUUGCUUCGUAUGCUACCGAUCACAUUUAAUGGCGUCGCGAAAGAUUAGCUUAAAUCACUCUUUCUAGGAUCCAUCACCACAUGGGUUAAAAUGUGUAAAUAAUUUAUUGAUCAAUUUUGUCCUUUCUCAAAAAUAGCAAAGUUGAAGAAAGUCAUUGCAAAUUUAGAACAACGAAUCACUCUAUGAGGCGUGAGAAAUAUAUAAAGGCUUGUUGAGGAACUGCCCCACAAUGAUUUAAACAUUCAACAAGAAGUCUUUAUUUUUUUUUUUUUAAUUUACCCCAUCAUGGAGGAUAAGAAAAAAAUAGUUAUAGAUUUUAAUUUUUGGUCAUAUGCUAUGGUUGUUUUAUUUUUCCCUAUUUUUAUGUGUGUAUAUUUGUAAGUUAUAUCUUAGGUUUAUUUUUUGAAAAAAUGUUAAUGUAGUGUGCCCAUUUAUGUAUGGUCGUUAAUUACGGCCUUUUAUGUAAUUUUUGAUAGCAAUAUAUUUGUUAAUUAGUUUAUAACUCGUGGGAACCACGGUUACAAAAUUAAUUAAACUUUCAUAGUAUAAAAAUUCAAAAUUAUUAAUCAAUUAUUUUAAAUAAAUUAUUAAUUAAGAGUUUUUUAUUAUAUAAAAUUAUAAUCAUUGAAUUAAAUAAAUAUAUGAAAUUACAUCACUUUAUAAUUUGUAUUAAUUUUAUUGUAGUUUUUAUUUUAAUAUUAUUAAUUUAAAGUAAUUAGAGUGGAAAAUUUAAAAUUUGAAAUUUGAAAUGAAAAAUUAAUAGAUUGACAAGUGACAUGCAUUAAUUAGGAAACUUAAUAGGAUGAUACAUGGCAAAACAAGAAUAAAAUAUGCAUUAAUUAAGAGACCUAAUAAGAUGACACAUGUUAAAAGGAGAAUAAAAUUAUUAUUUUGUUAGAAUAGGUAUUAUUUUGUUAGAAUAGGAUUAUAGUAUCAUUGUUUCAUUUAUUCUCUAAAACUAAGGGCCAGUAAUCACGAUCCGCGUUAGUCUGAUCUAACCAAUCAGAUCAGCUUUACACAGCCUAUAUAAACACAUCCCAAUACACCAACAAACGCAUCCUACCUUUCGAAUUCAUCAACUACAAACACAUUUUCUCUAUUUCCAUCUUCCCUCCAACCGUAUCAAUGGCACCCAAGGCAGCUGCCGGAAAGAAACCAGUAGCGGAAAAGGCCCCGGCUGAGAAGGCACCGGCGGAGAAGAAGCCCAAGGCGGAGAAGAAACUCCCAAAAGACGCAUCGGCUGCCGGAGCAGAUAAGAAGAAGAAGAGACACAAGAAAUCAGUCGAGACCUACAAGAUCUACAUCUUUAAGGUUUUGAAGCAGGUUCACCCUGACAUUGGUAUCUCUAGUAAGGCAAUGGGCAUCAUGAACUCAUUCAUCAACGACAUUUUCGAGAAGCUCGCUCAGGAGGCAUCUAAGCUUGCAAGGUACAACAAGAAGAACACUCUGUCUUCGAGGGAGAUUCAAACUGCAGUCAGACUUGUACUUCCCGGGGAGUUGGCUAAGCAUGCUGUGUCUGAAGGUACCAAGGCUGUGACAAAGUUCACUAGCGGUUAGAUUGUCUUGAUUUGUUAGUAUAUUUAGUAAUCUGGUUUUCGUUGGUUUUUGGGAUCCCUGAUGUAAUUACCUUCUAGCUGAAAAGUUCUGAAAUUGAAAUGAAACUAUCUUGUUUUGGUAAUUGAACGUUCUUAUUAACCAUCUUAUGUUUCUUUUUGAUUGCAUCAAAUGAAAUUGUGCUUGAUGGUCUUCGUUUUUAUCUAUUUGUAUUGUUUUGUAUCGAUUGCAUUCGACUCACACCAGGUGUUGUGAGGACACAUUUGUUGGAUUGAUUUUAGUUGCUGUGUCUAUGGCUUGUUUGCGCAACUGAGGUCCGAGGUCCCAACUCCCAAAACAGCCGAGCAAUGUUUUUCUUGCAUAUAAAAGAGAUCAUUGCUUCAGAGUUUUUUGUUGGUGUUGUACAUUGCAUUAUAUCCGUGUUAGUAUUGCUCUCUCUCAGUUAUUAUACUAUAUAGUUAGCCCAGUACGUUUAAUGAUGAGCAAUGGUUCAUGUGAAAAGUGAAAACCUAACUCUGAUAUGGAAUGCCUUUGAUGCCCUCUAAACAUAGAUCUGAAUUCAUGCUCUUCACCGGUGUCCCCUGCGCCAUUAUCAAUCUCCCUCCUAUUUCUUUCAUCACCUUGAUCUUUUCUUCGUUCUCUUGCCAUGGCUGGAAAUAUUACUAUUAAUAUGAAACAGUACGUGAUAGCGGACAUAAAAGCCCUACAAUUCCCAACAAAUCGGAAUGUUUGAACACAUGAUUUUUAUAAAGGGUGGUUACAUCCCAAUUUUCCAUAUAGACAUCUAUUUGAUUUUUAAGUUUUUUUUUAUUGGUUUAAUUUGGGGUAAAUGACACAACAAACACUCUUUUUAUAAAAGAAAUUCGAUUUUAACACCGUUUUUUUUUUUUGUCAAUUUUGACAUUGUAUUUCCAAUUUGUUACAAUUCUGACCACUUGACCGGUUAACCAGGUUGCAUGAUGACGUGUCAGUUUUUGAUGACGUGAUAUGCUGACGUGUCAAAAUUGAAUUUUUUUUUCUCACAAAAAACACUAAGUUUCCAUUUUUUUCGAUUUUGACACUAAGUUUAAUUUUUUCUUUCAACUUUGACACUAUGUUUUUUGUUCUAAAUCGAACAUUAUUUUUUCUAAUUUUGUUCAACGUUGACAAUUUUUCUAUUUGAAACCGUAUAAAUAUUUUUUUAAUAUAUUUAAACCGUAUAAAUAUGUUUUUUUUUUCAUUUAAAAACCAUAGUUUUGUAUAAAUACAUUUUUUUAACACUCAAACCAUAUUUUUAUGUAUAAAUAUGUAUUAGUUAUAUAAAAAUUGUAUUUUAUAUUAAAUAUGCAACUCUAAAAUGUGUUUGGAGGUUUGGAGGUUUGGAGGCGUGUAGUCGAUCAAAACUCGGAUAUCAAGUUUGCAACCCAUCAAAUUUUUACAUCUUAUUAGAAGCUGAUGAUUAGUUUAAUUCUCAUUAAAUAACUAAUGCUUUGAAUGUAAGAAAAAAAAACACCUUGUAUUUAAAUAAAAAUGUGGUUUUAAAACGAAAAAAAUAUGUUUAUACGGUUUAAAAUGUAAUAAAAAAAAAUAUAUUAAUACGGUUUCAAAUGUAAAAUAGACAAAAUUGAACAAAAUUUGAUAAAUGAUGUUCGAUUGGAACAAAAAAAAAACAUAGUGUCGAAAUUGAAAUAGAAAAUUAAACUUAGUGUCAAAAUUGAAAAAAAGUGAAAACUUAGUGUUUUUUGUGGAAAAAAAAUCAAUUUUGACACGUCAACAUAUCAUGUCAGCAUGCCACGUCAUCAAAACCGACACGUCAUCGUGCCACGUCAGCAUGUAACUUGGUUAACCGGUCAAGUGGUUAUAAUUGUAACAAAUUGGACAACACAAUGUCAAAAUUGACACAAAAAAAAAAACACGGUGUCAAAAUCGAAUUUCUGUGUAAAAAGAGUGUUUUUUGUACCAUUUACCCUUUAAUUUGCAUUGUUUUUUGAAAAAGUAAAUUUUAAUAGUUUAUUAUAGGUUUACUUUUAAUAAAAGUGUUUAUAGGUGUCUAAGAUGUGUCAAUUUAGCAACUCCCUUUUCAUAAUUAGUAAUGUUAUAUGAACCUUUAUGGCAUACAUCAUACCAACCUAUUGGGUCGAAGCUUUAUAUAUGACCAAUCACCUCCUCAACAUUACCCAAUCCACAUCUAUUGGGAACGAGAUACCAUUCGCCAAACUAUUCAAGAAAACUCCCUCAUUCUCACAUGGGAGUCUUCGAGUGCUUAUGUUACACACUUAUCAAUCCCCAACAUAAACUUACUACACAAUCCACUCCUUGUAUCUGAUGGGUUUCAAGCAAAACAUCAAUCCUAUGGUGUACAUGCAAACCCUAAUAGCUUUUGGAUCUAGUUUGUCUAAUAAACAUGCAAUUGAAUAUCCAAAGCUAUAAACCCUAGAUCCAGCAUACAAUUAAUCAUAUAAACAUAAAAUAGGGUUUAGAUCUGACCUUUGAUUGUUAUAUAGCAAUAACAAUCUAAUCAUUGGCUUCAGAAAGCUUAGUGCCUCAAGUGCUGCACCUCUAAUGGAGUUACAAACACCACUAAGCAACUUGGAUGAAGAGAGAGGAGAGAGGAGGCACCAAAAACGGCUGGAAACCCUAAUCUUAGUGUUGUCCAUGUUUUUGGUGCAUAGAAGACUUUUAUAUACAUGUAGGCUAUUAGGGUUUACAACUAGGAAACCUAAUCUGGCUGCUUAAGCCCUAAGCAGCCCAUGAACUCCUUUAACAUAUCUCUUGGACGAAUUCCUUAUGGGCUUCCCAUAGAAUUCGUCCAACCUAUAUUAUUUAGGUAAUCCAUAGCCCAAUUGCAAUUGUAUUAUAAUUACAAAUCCAGUCCCCUAAGUUUAAUUAAUCUCUUUUAGCCACAAAAUUAAUUCUUAAUUAAUUCUUGACUAAUAUUAAUUAAACAAUAUGAUUUCUCUUUUAAUAUAUUAUUCUCAUAAUAUAUAUUAAUAAAUCAUAAUUAAACCUUUCUCUCCUUAAUUCAUCAUACAUGUUGCUAUGGUGAAGGCAACCCAAAAAGACCAUGCUCAUAAUCGGGUCAAGUACAUACCAAAAUAGUUAUGGACUUAGACACUAAUCCAAUAGUAUCUUCAUCGGGUACCCAUCUAACCAUCAUGGAUACCGAUGUCUUGACCUCUCAUCUGGUAAAAUUAUCAUAUCUGGUCAUGUCGUUUUGACGAAUCCCCAUUCAUUUUCGAUCCUUGACUCCUAACCAAUCCCCACCAUACACCUUCCUUGAUUUGAAGGACUCACAUCCCCAGUGCGUCGUCAAUUUUUUGAGACACCGAAACAACCGCUCCACCUAAGAGAAUCCAACCCAACCCACCCCACUACCGAACAUCCACCUCUCCUCCCUACCACCUCGGCUAUAACCCUACCACCCCAUCCUCCUUCUACUCAUCCUAUGGUCACAAGCUAGAACAUAGUAUCAUUAAAUCCACCGCUUGCCUAAUCCUUUAUAGCACAAAUGAGUCACACACCCUCAAAUCCCACUUGCAUGCCCUUUGUUACCUUAACUGCUUGCCUUAUCCGUUAUAGCACAACCGAGUCACACACCCUCAAAUCCCACUUGCUUGCCCUUUGUUACGUUAACUAGAACAUUGCUAUAAAUGUAUGAUUUGCUGCUCUUAUGUCUAACAUAACUUACGCCUUGUUCCCCGUUAUUUUUUUGUAUAUUCAUUAAAGGAAAGGGAAGAAAAAUUUUGACCGAAAGAAAGGGAGGGGAAGGAAAAAUAUUAAUUAUACCGUGUUCCCAGGUUCGAAGGAACUGAAAAGAAAUGAGAGGAAAAUUUUAAGUUUUUGUGUUCCCAAGUUAGGAGGAAAAAGAAAAUAAAACUUGAAAUUUUCUUUCCCCUCACUUUCUUCCCAAAUCCGCCCAAUUUGGAAGGAAAAUAUGACUCCAAAAUUCUUCCCUUCCCUUCACUUUCCUCCCAUUUGCCUCGUUAAGUAGAACUCGGGAACAAGGCGUUAGGUAGUUGUUCUGAGGCCUCUAAGGGGAAAUAUUGUUCAUUCUAUGUGGUCAUUUAAAAAGAUAUACAACUUCAUUGAUACUAUUGAGUAUUGACCGGUAUAAAAAACAUUUGGUCGUUAAAGAGAAAAGUCAACGACCAAACAUCGAUUGUGCUUGAUUGUCAAACCAUUGGCGAUUUGAUAUCUUCUCAACAUAAUUGUCUCUUGUUACUGAUCGAUUCAUCAGUUGUGCAUCAAUAAGACUUUCUUGCAUAGUCACUUAAACAAGACUCUUUACAUGCAUCGACCUCUGAAUUUCGUGACCUCAAUCAUCAAAAUUAUGUAUGUUAUCCCUAGAAAUUCCUAUACAACAUGAAAGAGGCACCACAUGUGUGGUGUAAUCGAUAUGAUGAGUUUAUUACUUGGGUCAGUUUCCAACAACAAAACUAACUCCUCACUUUUCAUGUUCUAAUGGGGGAUGGUAACACCUAUAUUAUUUUCUACGUGGAUGAUAUUAUCUUGAAUGCUUCUUCCUCUGACUUAAUUAUUCGAAAUACCAUUUCUCAGUUCCUGACCAAGUUUGCUAGGACCGAUUUUGACGUCCUCUCAUAGUUUUUGGGUGUUUCAGUGGUCUGUGAUAAGACUGAUGUUUUUCUUUCUCAACACAUAUAUGCGUUCAAACUUCUAGUGUGGGCACACAUGUAAGCCUACAACCCCUGUAGCACUCUCACAAAAUUCUCAGUCGAAGCUCGAUCUCAUGGGUCCCACAUUGUGGAUCCCAUUUAUAUCGUAGUUUUCAGGCGACCUCUAGUAUUUGAGUUUUACUUGCCCCGAUAUCUCCUAUACUACACAAUAAAUAUACCUCUUCAUGCAUGACCCUGGAUGUAACAUCCGGUUUCGGGAAAUUUCUUAUUUAUGAAUGACAAACUUUAAUUUAGUCAAGGGUAGAUCUCGGGAUUCAAAGGAUAAAGUUUGGCGAGAAACGGUUGGAUCAUUGUCUUCUAAAAACCAUAAUUGGUAGGAGAUAAAGUAAACGAAAAUUUAUAGGAGUUGUGUAUGGUUUUCUCGGUUAUGGAUAAGGCUGUGUGUAACGACCGAAAAAUACAACCAAUUUUAACUUUUUCAAAAACAGCUUGAUUCCAUUAAAUCUUUACAAAAAGGUUUUCAAUAUAAACAUUUAACGUAUUCCCAGAAUCACAUUACUACAAAAUCACGAGGAACGGUACGAUCAUGCCUUCGCCUUGCCACAGUCUCCUGAAGAACCUGAAAAACAUAAAACCACAACUGUAAGCCUGAAAGCUUAGUGAGAUAUCCCCCAAAUACCAACCACAUAUACCAUACACGCAUAACAUGCCACAACAUAUCUGAUCACAGAACAGCCAUGCACUUCGGGUCUACUGUGUGACUGGUCCGCCGCACCGGCCUACAGUCCACCUGGUCCACCCUCUGAGUCUAUCCACAUACAUCGAGUCUGCAGUGUGAUUGGUCCGCCCGCACCCGGGCCUUCAAUCCACCUGGUCCACUCUCUGAGUCUACAGUAUGACUGGUCCGCCCGCACCGGGCCUUCAGUCGGCCUGGUCCACUCUCCGAGCCUCGGCACGUCUGGUCCGCCCUCUUGGGGCCUACAGCCUAUCCGGACCGCUCGCUGGGCCUUCGGAACAACCGGUCCGCCCUGGGUAUCUUGGCCUACAGCACAAAGCAGGACCCGCCUCAACCCAACUCCAGUCCAAACAACCAUGUGCACAUAUACAUACAAUCAUAUAGCAAUUCACAGUCAACAAGCAAAUCAAACAGAUCACAUAACAUAUCAUCAUCCUAACCAGGAUACCGACCUAACAGGUCACUAGCAUAGCAUCUCCCUAUCUCUCAGGAUACCAAACUCAAUCAGGUCUCUAACAUAUAUCAUCCUAACUCACAGGAUGCAAACAUAUCAAAGCAGCAACAUAACAACAACUACCCGGAUCUCAAUCCGAUAAGGGUCGUCCUUGGUGCCUUAGACCCUGUUGAUAUAGUGAGGAUAACUCACCUCGAAACUGUCGGUUGAAAGGAUAAGAUCCCGCUGCUCCAAGCUCCGACACGAACUCCUCCACUGAACACCAACACACUCAACUCAAUAAAUACCCUUUAUUACCAAAAUACCCCUGAAAGGCAACUAGUCAACCUUUGGACAAGGUCAAAGUCAACCCCUGACUGACUCUACUCGCCGAGUCAACCCGAUGACUCGCCGAGUCUCCAUACUCAGAACUUCCCUCAAUCUGCGACCUAACUCACCGACUUACUCCGAGACUCGUCGAGUCCAACAACUCUGAGUCCACUCGCACACAACUCACCGAGUCAUCCCUUGACUCACCGAUUCUCGACUCGACCAUAAAAUAUUGGGACUCUUCGACAAGACUCGCCGAGUCCAAGAACAGACUCGCCGAGUCUAAGGCUAUCUUCAACCUAGUCGCCGAGUUCCAGGCCAUCUUCAUCCAAGUCGCCGAGUUCCAGCUCAUCUUCAAGCAACUCGUCGAGUCCACCCAUGUGACUCGCCGAGUACCAACGGUUUGAAUCCAUUCAGAAGCACUCCAGGCCAUGCAAUUCAUCCACAACAUAGAUCUAGCCUCCUACAACCCAUCCAUCACGUAAAGUGGCAAACUUUACGUGAAUCCAAAGAGAUCUAGGCCUUUAACACUAUAUAGCUAGGGUUGGGACAUGAUAGCUUCAUUACACACUUGAACACAAGGACUUUCAGGCAUUCCAACCCUUCUCCAAUUCAGAUCUGAGGUAGCAACCUCAGAUCUAACCUCUAAACUCCAAAACCCCAAAAGAUAGGCUCCCACAAACCCCAUAAUGAAGAAUCCAAGAAUAACAGCCCAAGGACGAGAUAUUACCUCAAAAGAACACCCAAACUGCAAUGGAACUCGAAUCCAAGCAAAAACCCUUGCUCCAAACCUCUUCUUCUUCAAGAUCUCUUCAACAACCACCUCUCUAAGCUCCAAAUCACCCAACAAUGGGGUUUCUCCACGAAUUUAGGGUUUUUGGGACUCAAGGGGGUGAUAAGGAGGCUGGGGAGGAAACAUAAUGUUCCUUAUAUAUGGCUCAACUUCCGGAUUUAGGGUUUUCUCCAUUCAGUGCCUACUCGCCGAGUCGGCCACUUGACACGCGACCAAGUCGCGACUCUACUCGCCGAGUCCACCCAUGGACUCGCCGAGUCGCUCUAUCCCAUAUUACUCUUUUAGCCCUNAGAUGUUACACUGUGAUAGUCGCCAUGAUCAAUGAAUGUGAAAAUCGACCUAUGUGGUUGUGUUUUUUUCUUUUUUUUUUUUUUUUUUUUUUUUUUUUUUUUUUUUUUUUUUUAUUUCCNUACCUAAGACACACUCCUCACCAUCAUUGCUUAGCAUUCUAAGUUUAAGUCUAGAAAUAAAUCCAUAUUCCUAGUUCGCUUAAACUAAUGCUCUGAUACCAACUGUGACAUCCCCAUUUUCACGGCCAGAAAAGACCGAUUUUGUUUAUGCUUUGUAAAAAUCAGAGUACUUCUUUUCAUAAAAAUGUUGCGGAAUUUGUUCCUAGAAAAACAUGUUAAAUACGUUAUCAAAACAUUUUCGAAGAAACGUAUUUUAUUCAUUUUAAAACGUUUGGGAUGUCAUCGUUAAUACAAAAAUAUAAGCUUAAACAGAACUCACAUUUAUUUAUACUAGUGAUCUACAUCUCUUUAAUCUCUCAGUGUAAUGUGACUUCAUAACAACACCUGUGAUAUAAAUAAACUGAGUAGGUCAGGUUGGGAAACCUGGUGAGUACAUUGGGUUUUCAACCCACAAUAAUAUAAUUAUUAUGUUCAAUCAUCAAACAAUUAACCCAAUUACCCAUCCUUAUUAUCUUCUUUAUUCCUAAGUACCCUCCAUAAGGAUUUAUCCUAAGGGUCGUCUCCUACAUCAUAUUUUACCUCUCUUCUCCUUUUAUGUUUGUUCCUAAGGACUUUCCCUAAGGAUCAUCGCCUAAAUCGCCUAGACAGAAUUGAUUCUGGGAUUACUCCCUCAAUAUGUGCCCACCAAGGGUUUGGGUAUCAUCGCAUGAAUACGUAGUUACAACAUCGCCUGAACUCGUAAUUCAUAGUAAGGGGGUUAGAGUAUCAUCACAUGAAUACAUAGUUACAACAUCCCCUGAACUCGUAAUUCAUCACCUACAGGUUAUGAGCCUGCUGGUGUUUCCACGGGGUUGUCUAUAAUAGUCCGUGGUCGCCAUCUAUACUCUGGUAGAUGACUACAUCUCCAAAUUGUCGGACAAGGUUGUAGUAUCCUACAUCACCGAUUCAUAAUCACCUAUCUAUCAUCACCUUCCUAUCAUCACCUAUCUCUCAUUAUUUUAUUUCAUCACUCACCAACUAUUUCAUCUACCCAUGUUUUAUCCCAACAUAUUUGUAGAUAUAAAAUAAAUAUACAGUUUAAAUCAUUUAAAACAUGUAUAAAUCAUUCAUCCAGCAUAGACAAGAAGUAUUCAGAUAAUAUGCACACAUAACACGUAAUUUAUGUAAAAUAAUUCAUAUCUAUGUGUAAGAUGAAAGUAACUAUGCACUCACUUGAAAGGGGGUGACUCAGCACUCGGACAACGUUUCGAUACUCUCAAAACAAUUUCCUUUGAUAAAACCUAAUAUCAAUACCACUAGGGUUUAGUCUAACGAUAACUAUGACAAAUUAAUACUCUGACUACUAUUAUUAUUAUAUAAGUGUUAAAUAACACUCAAUAUAACUCAUAAUAAUAGCCUAAAUAAUUAUUUUAAGGACCUAAUAACAUUACUAUAAUUAUUUGGAAGCUAUAUUAAAAAUUGCGUAAGCGUAGCUCACUUACAGCGAAUUUUAAAGAAAACCGGGCUUUGCUCGGAGCAGCGUUUCANCAGCGUUCCCGAGCCGAAAGGCUCUUUUCUCGGGACUCCGGGAGCCUCGGGGCUUCCUUCGGGUGCUAGGGGGUUUACCUAGGCUUUAGGGGGCUUAAGGGGGGCUAGAGAGAGAAAGUGGAUGAGGAAAGGUGUGAGAAUGAACGGAACUCGACACAUCUAUUUAUAGUGUGAAAUCCUGAUGGACUCGCCGAGUAGGAGGACCUACUCGACGAGUUGGUUCCAUGUGUCAUCAUCUGAUGGCUUUCCUUGGAGAGAAAGCAAUGGCUGUGAUCGCGCCACGUCACCCAAUAUCGCGUAUCGGCUUCCUGACUUAGAAAAAUCAUAACUCUCGCAUACGAGCUCCGUUUUUGACGUUCUUUAUAUCCACGCGUAGGUAAAAGCAAAAUCUACAACUUUCCUUUAGACUCCGUCGGCUAAUUACCGACCGAUCUUAAAUUUAACAGUAGGAGGAGUUUAGACUGUUAAAUGACCGCGAAGAAUUCGUAACUCCUUCAUACGAACUCCGUUUUCGUCUAUCUUUUUACCGUUGAGUUCCUAUUAAUGAGAUAUUCAACUCUCAUUUAGGUCGCGUAAGCCAAAAACCGCUCGAACUAAAAUUCGAGUUUCGGGGCGUGCACUACUAAGCCGAAUCUUAGAAAAAUCAUAACAUUCUCAUACGAAGUCAUAUUUGGGCGUUCUUUUUAUGGAUGUUCUCGGUUUAACGUAUACUACAACUUUGGUUUAGAUCACUAAGGCUAAAAAGUCAUCUAUCUUAAAUUCACUAUUUACGUCUCCCGGUGUCGUGCCGGUUUUGCCGUAAAACUUCGAUGGGCCAUAAGUUCUUUGUUAUAGGUCGGAUUUCGGCGUUCUUUAUAUGUACGGAAACCUUGUUACAUAUUCUACAGAUUGGUUAAGAUUAUUUAUUCUAAACAAUAUUUUGUCGAAAAGUCGUUUUUGACCCCUAUUGCCUCUAAAUUGACUAGCCCGGAUCUGCGGGCGUUACAUACAGUCUACUCCUUGUACUAAUAUUAUCUUGUCUGAUAAAGACAAUCUCAAAGUAGGUUGCCAUUUUGACAUAUUAUUGAAGUUGGAAAAUCUAUAAAAUAGCAACAUACUUUGAGAUUGUACUUUCAUUUUUUUCUCUGACUUGUAAAACUUUAAAAUAUCAACCAUUUUUACUACCACAACAUCUAAUUUUAUUUUUUUUCAUUAAAAUUUUGUAUUUUAUUUUUUUUCAUUAAAACUAUAAAUUGUAUUUUGUAUUUGGAAUCCAUAUAGAUUAUAGAUUAGCAACUAACAAAGGGUAUGUAUUGACUAUUGAGUUAUUUUUUAGAGUACCUCCAUUGUACAUAAGUACCCCUUCAUUAGGUUUUCAAAUGUAUGCAUCAGGGUUUUUUCAUUCGAACACCUAAAAAUAAGGAACUUAUUAUUACUUUUCCAAUGUUAACCCUAUAGUCAAACAACUUUGUUUAUGUAAAUCUAUAAAUUUUGUUGUUAAAAUUCACAAAAAUGGAUAUAUAUAUAUAUAUAUAUAUAUAUAUAUAUAUAUAUAUAUANUCAUGCUAUAUUUGAAAAAAGUUGAAAGUAAAUUGAAAUUUUUUUUAUUUACCUCAAUCAUGGAAAAAAAACACAGAAGAUAUCAGUAUAUUUUCAUUUUUUUUUGUCUCUAUACUAUCAUUGUUUUCGUUUUGUUAUUUUCAGUUACAUAUUUUCCUCAUUUUUUCAUCUAAUUAUGUAAAUUUAUCUAAUUUAAUUUACUAAAGACCUUUAAUGUAUAUAUUUUUUAAAAUCUAAACACAAACACCAUCACAACAAUAUACAUUCAUUUUUAUUUUUGUCAUAUAUAACAUCAUUGUCAUAUGUUAAUUAAUAACAACAUAUUUUCAAGUUUGAUGCAAAGUCAAAAAAAAGUUUAAGAAAAUGGCAACUUUACGUGAAAGUAAAUUGCUACUUUUUCAUUUACCCCAUCACGGAAGAAAUGCGGAAAAUAGCAAGACUUUUUUUUUUUUUUUUUUGUUGUAAUGUGCUAUCAUUGUUUUCUUUUUCCUCUAUUAGGUUCAUUUUUUUGAAUAAUGUGCUAUCAUUGUUUUCUUUUUCCUCUAUUAGGUUCAUUUUUUUGAAUAAUGUGCUAUCAUUGUUUUCUUUUUCCUCUAUUAGGUUCAUUUUUUUGAAUAAUGCAACUAUUGACAUUUUAGGUAAAAUCUUCAAAAAAAUCUUAAACUUUUGAAAAAAGUUUCAAUUUAGUCUUAAUUUUUUUUGAAUAGAAAAAUCCAAGAAUUUUGAGGUGUUGAGCAAGUCAUCUAUACCACAUGGUCAAAAAAGAUUAAAGUGUAAGGUUUAAACGGUUUAUUGGAUUUUUCUAUUUAAACAAAAGAUUAUGACUAAAUUAAAACUUUUCCUAAUAGUUUGAGACUUUUCUGAAUAUUUUUCAAAAUUUUAACUGAGAUGAGGAUUAUUAAGGACAUUUUAUGUAAAAAAAAUAACUGGGCCAUACCUUUGACAUUUGCAAUCAAUUUUUAUUUUUGUUUUUCAAAUAAUUUGAUAACGGCGUUCUCUCUAAAAUAGCAACAUAUUUUCAAGAGUUUUUCAACUUUUUGUUAACUAUACCAUUUUAGGGACCUUUUUUUUGAAAUAGUUUUGAUAGCAAUCAACGGCCAGUAAUCACGAUCCGCGUUAGUCUAAUCUAACCAAUCAGAUCAGUUUUACACAGCCUAUAUAAACACAUCCCAAUACGCCAACGAUCACAUCCUACUUUUCGAAUUCAUCUACUACAAACACAUCUUCUCUAUUUCCAUUUUCCCUCCAACUGUAUCAAUGGCACCCAAGGCAGCUGCCGGAAAGAAACCAGUAGCGGAAAAGGCUCCGGCUGAGAAGGCACCAGCGGAGAAGAAGCCCAAGGCGGAGAAGAAACUCCCAAAAGACGCAUCGGCUGCCGGAGCAGAUAAGAAGAAGAAGAGACACAAGAAAUCAGUCGAGACCUACAAGAUCUACAUCUUUAAGGUUUUGAAGCAGGUUCACCCUGACAUUGGUAUCUCUAGUAAGGCAAUGGGCAUCAUGAACUCAUUCAUCAACGAC
rnacentral:lncRNA from 1 species